GGCCUAAUGGUGAAAUGGUAUCACUUCCAGGCUUCAUGAGUAGCAUGCAGUAGAUUCUCUGGAAGUCCCUCGUUCGAUUCGGGGUUAGGUCA